GUAGGUGGCAAGCGUUGUCCGGAAUUAUUGGGCGUAAAGCGCGCGCAGGCGGUCCUUUAAGUCUGAUGUGAAAGCCCACGGCUCAACCGUGGAGGGUCAUUGGAAACUGGGGGACUUGAGUACAGAAGAGGAAAGCGGAAUUCCACGUGUAGCGGUGAAAUGCGUAGAGAUGUGGAGGAACACCAGUGGCGAAGGCGGCUUUCUGGUCUGUAACUGACGCUGAGGCGCGAAAGCGUGGGGAGCAAACAGGAUUAGAUACCCUGGUAGUCCACGCCGUAAACGAUGAGUGCUAAGUGUUAGGGGGUUUCCCGCCCCCCUUAGUGCUGCAGCUAACGCAUUAAGCACUCCGCCUGGGGAGUACGGCCGCAAGGCUG
rnacentral:rRNA from 1 species